GAUCACGGAGUGGUAUGAUGUGCGGUAGUACAUGGGAUGCGAGCGUUAAUCGUAAUUACUGGGCGUGCAGCGUGCUCAGGCAGUGUUGGAAGACCGAUGUGAAAUCCCCGGGAUCAACCUGGGAACUGAAGUGGUGACUGCAAGGCUGGAGUGCGGCAGAGGGGGAUGGAAUUCCGGUGGUAGCAAUGAAAUGCUUAGAUAUGCGGAGGAACACCGAUGGCGAAGGCAAUCUCCUGUGCCUGCACUGACGCUCAUGCACGAAAGCGUGGGGAGCAAACAGGAUUAGAUACCCCAGUAGUC
rnacentral:rRNA from 1 species